GGUUAUGUUGAAAAAUGAUCUCUUGAGUUAUUUGCUUUUAGAAACUCAAAGGUUAGUUUGAGAAGCAAAUAAAAACACUCUAAACUCAGAAGUAUGAUGAGAAUGUAGAUCUUGAGUGUGAGUGAUAAAAGAAGAGUUUCAUGACUUGUAGACAAAAACAAGUGAUUGAUGAUUUGUAGCUUCAACUCUUACUCUUCAAUGUUGCCAAAGCCUUCCUUUUAUAGUUGAACCUUGAGUCUUCAGUUCCUUGGUCCCAAAGGAAGUUUUCCAACGGCUAGUUGCUUCAAAAU
rnacentral:lncRNA from 1 species